AGUGAACGCUAGCUACAGGCUUAACACAUGCAAGUCGAGGGGAAACGAUAGAGAAAGCUUGCUUUUUCUAGGCGUCGACCGGCGCACGGGUGAGUAACGCGUAUCCAACCUGCCCACCACUUGGGGAUAACCUUGCGAAAGUAAGACUAAUACCCAAUGAUAUCUCAAGAAGACAUCUGAAUGAGAUUAAAGAUUUAUCGGUGAUGGAUGGGGAUGCGUCUGAUUAGCUUGUUGGCGGGGUAACGGCCCACCAAGGCGACGAUCAGUAGGGGUUCUGAGAGGAAGGUCCCCCCCAUUGGAACUGAGACACGGUCCAAACUCCUACGGGAGGCAGCAGUGAGGAAUAUUGGUCAAUGGGCGAGAGCCUGAACCAGCCAAGUAGCGUGCAGGAUGACGGCCCUAUGGGUUGUAAACUGCUUUUAUAAGGGAAUAAAGUGAGUCUCGUGAGACUUUUUGCAUGUACCUUAUGAAUAAGGACCGGCUAAUUCCGUGCCAGCCGCCGCCGUAA
rnacentral:rRNA from 1 species